rnacentral:hammerhead_ribozyme from 1 species
GUACUGCUGAAGAGUCCCACAAUAGGACGAAACGGUCGUUCAAUGC